rnacentral:misc_RNA from 1 species
GAAGAAGUCAGAUGACAAGAGCAGCAAAGCCAGUUCAGGGAACGAAGUUUCUUCAGGUGAUGCUAACAAUAAAGAGCUAGAGAAGCUAGACGAGGAAAUGGAAAUUCUUUGGAAAAAGGUGCUACCUGAAGCAGCAUAUUUGCGCCUAAAGGAAUCAGAAACUGGUCUUCACCUUAAGUCACCCGACGAGUUGAUCAGUAUGGCACAUAAAUACUACGCUGAUACUGCCCUUCCAAAACUGGUUGCUGAUUUUGGGUCACUGGAG